UUAAGCGACUAAGCGUACACGGUGGAUGCCCUGGCAGUCAGAGGCGAUGAAGGACGUGCUAAUCUGCGAAAAGCGCCGGCGAGGUGAUAUGAACCUUUGACCCGGCGAUGUCCGAAUGGGGAAACCCAGUGUGAUUCGUCACACUAUCGUUAACUGAAUACAUAGGUUAACGAGGCGAACCGGGGGAACUGAAACAUCUAAGUACCCCGAGGAAAAGAAAUCAACCGAGAUUCCCCCAGUAGCGGCGAGCGAACGGGGAGCAGCCCGGAGUCUGAAUCAGCUUGUGUGUUAGUGGAACGGUCUGGAAAGUCCGACGGUACAGGGUGAUAGUCCCGUACACGAAAAUGCACAGGUUGUGAACUCGAAGAGUAGGGCGGGACACGUGGUAUCCUGUCUGAAUAUGGGGGGACCAUCCUCCAAGGCUAAAUACUCCUGACUGACCGAUAGUGAACCAGUACCGUGAGGGAAAGGCGAAAAGAACCCCGGCGAGGGGAGUGAAAAAGAACCUGAAACCGUGUACGUACAAGCAGUGGGAGCCUACUUGUUAGGUGACUGCGUACCUUUUGUAUAAUGGGUCAGCGACUUAUAUUCUGUAGCAAGGUUAACCGAAUAGGGGAGCCGAAGGGAAACCGAGUCUUAACUGGGCGUUAAGUUGCAGGGUAUAGACCCGAAACCCGGUGAUCUAGCCAUGGGCAGGUUGAAGGUUGGGUAACACUAACUGGAGGACCGAACCGACUAAUGUUGAAAAAUUAGCGGAUGACCUGUGGCUGGGGGUGAAAGGCCAAUCAAACCGGGAGAUAGCUGGUUCUCCCCGAAAGCUAUUUAGGUAGCGCCUCGUGAACUCAUCUUCGGGGGUAGAGCACUGUUUCGGCUAGGGGGCCAUCCCGGCUUACCAACCCGAUGCAAACUACGAAUACCGAAGAAUGUUAUCACGGGAGACACACGGCGGGUGCUAACGUCCGUCGUGAAGAGGGAAACAACCCAGACCGCCAGCUAAGGUCCCAAAGUCAUGGUUAAGUGGGAAACGAUGUGGGAAGGCACAGACAGCCAGGAUGUUGGCUUAGAAGCAGCCAUCAUUUAAAGAAAGCGUAAUAGCUCACUGGUCGAGUCGGCCUGCGCGGAAGAUGUAACGGGGCUAAACCAUGCACCGAAGCUGCGGCAGCGACGCUUAUGCGUUGUUGGGUAGGGGAGCGUUCUGUAAGCCGUUGAAGGUGGCCUGUGAGGGUUGCUGGAGGUAUCAGAAGUGCGAAUGCUGACAUAAGUAACGAUAAAGCGGGUGAAAAGCCCGCUCGCCGGAAGACCAAGGGUUCCUGUCCAACGUUAAUCGGGGCAGGGUGAGUCGACCCCUAAGGCGAGGCCGAAAGGCGUAGUCGAUGGGAAACAGGUUAAUAUUCCUGUACUUGGUGUUACUGCGAAGGGGGGACGGAGAAGGCUAUGUUAGCCGGGCGACGGUUGUCCCGGUUUAAGCAUGUAGGCGGAGGUUCCAGGUAAAUCCGGUACCUUUUAACGCUGAGGUGUGAUGACGAGGCACUACGGUGCUGAAGUAACAAAUGCCCUGCUUCCAGGAAAAGCCUCUAAGCAUCAGGUAACACGAAAUCGUACCCCAAACCGACACAGGUGGUCAGGUAGAGAAUACCAAGGCGCUUGAGAGAACUCGGGUGAAGGAACUAGGCAAAAUGGUGCCGUAACUUCGGGAGAAGGCACGCUGAUAUGUAGGUGAAGCCCCUGCGGGUGGAGCUGAAAUCAGUCGAAGAUACCAGCUGGCUGCAACUGUUUAUUAAAAACACAGCACUGUGCAAACACGAAAGUGGACGUAUACGGUGUGACGCCUGCCCGGUGCCGGAAGGUUAAUUGAUGGGGUUAGCGGCAACGCGAAGCUCUUGAUCGAAGCCCCGGUAAACGGCGGCCGUAACUAUAACGGUCCUAAGGUAGCGAAAUUCCUUGUCGGGUAAGUUCCGACCUGCACGAAUGGCGUAAUGAUGGCCAGGCUGUCUCCACCCGAGACUCAGUGAAAUUGAACUCGCUGUGAAGAUGCAGUGUACCCGCGGCAAGACGGAAAGACCCCGUGAACCUUUACUAUAGCUUGACACUGAACACUGGUCCUUGAUGUGUAGGAUAGGUGGGAGGCUUUGAAGCGUGGACGCCAGUCUGCGUGGAGCCGACCUUGAAAUACCACCCUUUAAUGGCUGGUGUUCUAACGUAGACCCGUAAUCCGGGUUGCGGACAGUGUCUGGUGGGUAGUUUGACUGGGGCGGUCUCCUCCCAAAGAGUAACGGAGGAGCACGAAGGUUAGCUAAUCCUGGUCGGACAUCAGGAGGUUAGUGCAAUGGCAUAAGCUAGCUUGACUGCGAGAGUGACGGCUCGAGCAGGUGCGAAAGCAGGUCAUAGUGAUCCGGUGGUUCUGAAUGGAAGGGCCAUCGCUCAACGGAUAAAAGGUACUCCGGGGAUAACAGGCUGAUACCGCCCAAGAGUUCAUAUCGACGGCGGUGUUUGGCACCUCGAUGUCGGCUCAUCACAUCCUGGGGCUGAAGUAGGUCCCAAGGGUAUGGCUGUUCGCCAUUUAAAGUGGUACGCGAGCUGGGUUUAGAACGUCGUGAGACAGUUCGGUCCCUAUCUGCCGUGGGCGCUGGAGAAUUGAGGGGGGCUGCUCCUAGUACGAGAGGACCGGAGUGGACGCAUCACUGGUGUUCGGGUUGUCAUGCCAAUGGCACUGCCCGGUAGCUAAAUGCGGAAGAGAUAAGUGCUGAAAGCAUCUAAGCACGAAACUUGCCCCGAGAUGAGUUCUCCCUGAGACUUUAAGUCUCCUGAAGGAACGUUGAAGACGACGACGUUGAUAGGUCGGGUGUGUAAGCGCAGCGAUGCGUUGAGCUAACCGAUACUAAUGAACCGUGAGGCUUAACCUU
rnacentral:rRNA from 2 species